GUUUAACAUAGCCCAGUUGGUAGAGCAUGAGGCUCUCAAUCCCAGGGUUGUGAGUUUGAGCCCCACAUUGGGCA